GAGGGACCGCCCCCUCAUAUGUGACCCCCCCAUCAAUGAGGGGCCCCCUCAUGGCUCUCAUGCCCCUAAUUAACGACUAAUUAACUAAUUGCAGCUGUUCCUAUGUGCCCUGGCUCCGACCCCUUCCCCUCCUGACCCUGCUGACCCUAAUUAAUGACUAAUUAAUGAACUCCAAGUGUUCCUGCGCUGCCCAGCCCCACACCUUUUCCCCCGCUGACCCUCAUGCCCCUAAUUAAGGACUAAUUAACUAAUUGCAGGUGUUCCUAUGUGACCCGGCCCCUCCCCCCUUCCCCUCCUGACCCUGUUGAUCUUAAUUAAUGACUCAUUAACUAAUUAAUUGCAGCUGUUCCUGUGCAGCCCAGCCCCACACCUCUUCCCCUCCUGACCCUGCUGACCCUAAUUAAGGACUAAUUAAUGAACUGCAGGUGUUCCUGUGCAGCCCAGCCCCACACCUUUUCCCCCACUGACCCUCAUGGCCCUAAUUAACGGCUAAUUAACU
ensembl:lncRNA